AUGCGACUGUCCGGCGUGACUUGCUAAAAGUGGGUUACCAAAAUUAUUGUCGAAUCGAUGGACAAACACACAGCGGACAUUAGGGUGAACAAUUAUGCCAGAACAAGUAUAUAAGCUAAUAAUUUUGAAGAUUUUUUAAAACUUCACGUAAGCGGCUCCAAAGGUAUCCGGUGGCAAGGUUUCUAGGUACUUGAAGUCAAUGGUGCUGGUGUGGAUGCGGGGCUUAUCGGCCAUGAUGCGCUGACCCUCCUCGCUGGCCUGCAUGGUGUCCAAAAUAGUCCACAGAGCAUCCUCUCCAGUCGUCUCACCCAAACAGGCGAUCAUGUCAUGGCUUAAAGAGUAUCAAUUAUAACAAUUACCGAGUUUAAA